rnacentral:rRNA from 1 species
GACGAACGCUGGCGGCGUGCUUAACACAUGCAAGUCGAACGGAAAGGCCCUGCUUUUGUGGGGUGCUCGAGUGGCGAACGGGUGAGUAACCCGUGAGUACCCUGCCCUUGCCUUUGGGAUAACUUAAGGCAACUGGGGCUAAUACCGGAUAGGAGCUCCCGCUGCAUGGUGGGGGUUGGAAAGUUUCGGCGGUUGGGGAUGGACUCGCGGCUCAUCAGCUUGUUGGUGGGGUAGUGGCUUACCAAGGCUUUGACGGGUAGCCGGCCUGAGAGGGUGACCGGCCACAUUGGGACUGAGAUACGGCCCAGACUCCUACGGGAGGCAGCAGUGGGGAAUAUUGCACAAUGGGCGGAAGCCUGAUGCAGCAACGCCGCGUGCGGGAUGACGGCCUUCGGGUUGUAAACCGCUGUCGCCUGUGACGAAGCGUUAGUGACGGUAAUGGGUGAAGAAGCACCGGCUAACUACGUG